ACACGCAUGACACACUGCAUAUCAAUAAGCGGAGGAAAAGAAACUAACAAGGAUUCCCCUAGUAACGGCGAGUGAAGCGGGAAGAGCUCAAAUUUGAAAUCUUCAAGGGUUUCCCUUUACGAAUUGUAGUUUAAAGAAGUGUUUUCUGUUGGAGUUUCGGUAAAAGUUCUUUGGAAUAGGACAUCAUAGAGGGUGAGAAUCCCGUAUUUGACCGUUACUUUCCAGCUGUGUGAUACACUUUCAAAGAGUCGGAUCGUUUGGGAAUGCAGUCCAAAAUGGGUGGUAAAUUUCAUCUAAAGCUAAAUAUUGGCGAGAGACCGAUAGCGAACAAGUACCGUGAGGGAAAGAUGAAAAGAACUUUGAAAAGAGAGUUAAACAGUACGUGAAAUUGUCAAAAGGGAAGCGUUUGACACCAGUGUUGUUUAGUUGAAAAUCAAUUCAAUAAUUUUUGAUUUUGAGUAGUAUUGACUUCAUCAGCUUGCUGCUUUCUUUUCGGAAAUUAUUGAAUGCACUUUUCAGUUAACAAGUCAACAUCAAUUUCUUUUGUUGUAAAAGGGUAAGAGGAAGGUGGCUUACGCUUACGGCGUAAGUGUUUAUAGCCUUUUACCUCUGCAAUCGGAGAGAUUGAGGACAGCAGCGUAGACUCUUCGGGGUUAGAUACACUUGUGCUAAGCUAUAGCCUUGUAUAGACAACUUGUUGACUAUGCUCAGUCAUGUAGCUUACUCGCUUGUGCUAUUUUACCUACGCUUAGGAUGUUGAAGACUCUACAGAGAUA
rnacentral:rRNA from 1 species